UGGGGAAUAUUGCACAAUGGGCGCAAGCCUGAUGCAGCCAUGCCGCGUGUAUGAAGAAGGCCUUCGGGUUGUAAAGUACUUUCAGUGGGGAGGAAGGCGAUAAGGUUAAUAACCUUGUCGAUUGACGUUACCCGCAGAAGAAGCACCGGCUAACUCCGUGCCAGCAGCCGCGGUAAUACGGAGGGUGCAAGCGUUAAUCGGAAUUACUGGGCGUAAAGCGCACGCAGGCGGUCUGUCAAGUCGGAUGUGAAAUCCCCGGGCUCAACCUGGGAACUGCAUUCGAAACUGGCAGGCUAGAGUCUUGUAGAGGGGGGUAGAAUUCCAGGUGUAGCGGUGAAAUGCGUAGAGAUCUGGAGGAAUACCGGUGGCGAAGGCGGCCCCCUGGACAAAGACUGACGCUCAGGUGCGAAAGCGUGGGGAGCAAACA
rnacentral:rRNA from 1 species